CUGGGAACAACUCUAUUUCCCCAGGAACUAGGGGAUCUCGCUCCUUUUCCUGUUCUGAUUCCAGUGGAAUGCCAGUGUGUCAACUCCUAGGAUUUGCUGCCAUCUUCAAGACAUCAGGUCUUAAAUCUGGAGAAGGAAGCUACACCACGCUUUUGGAGCCAUGCAUAUUAUCCAGGUCUAUCUAUUGCUCAGAUUGGAAUUUCAGGGGAAUUGUUGGACAAUCUGUUUCAGGCGACAAAGGCAAAGCUGUUGGAUCCCCAGCUAAUUAUUGACUUGGCUCACAGAAAAGAUGUUGGAUUAUUUCUACAGUUUUACUCCAUCAUUUGCAGUCACUUAAGCCCAGAUGACACCAAGUCCAUCUGAGAUGUUCAGGCAAGUGUGAUUCUGAAAUGGUGUGAAAGACCACUGACACAAAACCUCUCUUUUGGGAAACA
rnacentral:lncRNA from 1 species